rnacentral:lncRNA from 1 species
GCUGGUUAUAAUGUUUUAUUCCCUAAGCAGCUGAUUUACACUGUUUCUCUUCUAGGUGAAGGCUUGUUGUGCAGGACGUCCUGGAGUCUCACGGUUCAUGACCGAGGCUUCACUCGUGCUGCUGAAGUCCAAGGUGCUGCUGAAGUCAAAGGUAAGCUCGUGUCUCUGGAGACUCAAACAAUUGUCUUAAUUCCCAGACCUGCUGAAAAUGAUGAGAUAUAUUUGGAAUCUCGUUCGUCUGAAUUGCUGUUGAGAAAUCUAAAUCUGACAUCAGUAAAAGUCAACUGAUGUUAUCACAUGUUCACCGGUUAGAGCUCGGCCCUAACUGUAUGUCGUCUACAGGUACCUGGCUCUUGGAGAUGCUGCCAACUUAACGACAGGUGCUUGUCCAGGUGAGCACUUUAGGUUUUAUUGUCAGCGUGGCGGUAAUAAACUCCCAGUCUGACUGAAACGGUUUCCUUAAUGACACCUGCACAUGUCUUGCGCCUUGGUUCAAUAAGGGGAAGACCUGUUGGGGGUACCAACAGUCUGGAUGGAAACGUAAUGUUUAAAAGAAGUCUAGAGCCGGUGAGAUGUUGGUGCUGAAUCCUACAUUUACACAGCUUUAGUAAAA